CAUGAUCCUUUGGUGAAUGGUGUGGGCUCUGUGGUUCAACACCAGCAUCCCAAAAGCCUUUCAUAGCCCAGAGAUGCUGAAAUUGAGAUACAUUUCAAGCAAUCUGAUGAAGAAGGUUUGGAGCGGUUGACUCCUGUGGACAAGCUUGAUUCUUCGGUCUAUAGCGAGGAAGAUUACCAAGUCCAAUUCAAUAAAGGCCAUAACAUUUCCAGCUCUUCAUCUGCAAUGCCCUCUGACAAGGUUUCAGGGAAGAGAAGUAAAGUCACCGAGUCUCCCCGGGAGAAAGAGGUCCAGCUCCCC
rnacentral:lncRNA from 1 species